rnacentral:rRNA from 1 species
CUCGCAUGCCAUCCAUCCUAUGGAUGUCGCACUGUUGGCCAUCCCGAGGCUCCUCAAGUUGGAUAAGAUCGACCCCGAGCCCCCGGAUCAAACCCUAGCCCCGAGAUUCCCCUCUCACACUCACGCUUCUCCUAUGAACCUCGUGUCCAAGCUGUCGUCGACGCGCCGUCACCGUCCCCGUGUCUACUGGCCUCCCCGGCGACCGGGAGUUCGUCCAGGGACUUCCUCGUCAUCGACUCCAUCAUCCCCGUGAAUCCGUUCAACCAGAGCCGCACCGUACGGAUGGAUCGAGCCGUCUUCCCCGGCACGGCCGCCGCCGUUCGUCGUCAGAUUUGUCGCCUCCUGAGCUCCCCUGACCUCCUAACCUCGUCCAUGAGCAUCACGUCGACCGUGGGGAGUGGAGGCAUCGAGUGGAUCGGUUACCUCCCCAAGGCGUUGUCGCGGCUUCCGGCGGGACGUCCGUCGGCGUCCACUGCCUUGUCUCACCGUAGUCCACAGUUAUGGCGCCGCGCUCGUCCCAGAUUUCGGCUUCUCCCGCCGCAAGACCGGCUCCUGCUCUUGAUUCGUCCUCGUGCAAGGGCUAGGUCAUGGAAUUGCCUGUGAUGCGGGCAGCCAUGGUGGAGCUCGGGUCGGGAUAGUGGAGGUGGUGGUGGCUGUUGUGCCUCCACUGAAGACCACGGGCGAUGGCAGGGCAGAGGCCGUGGCGAACGACGAGGGCGGCCACCAUCCAGCGGGUCUUCGUGGGCCCGACACCGGCCAUGCGGCUGCCGACCUAGCCUACUAGCGCCAUGGAUGAUGCCAGAAAGACGGUUCAACUAAGUGAACAAACUACUCCUUAGAUCGAUGCAUGCAAAGUCAUUGGUUUGGCUCAUCCUCAUCCAGGUGACAAUGGUGCUCCAUUACCAUAGUGAUCGACUAAUGGUCUGUUUGUCAGGUUAGACAAACUAAUCUAUGAUGUUGGUAAUAGUACAGUUUGUACCUGAUGCUAACCAAGCCUAUUAAUACAAGACAGAUAAGACUAUUUUUAUAUUUAUCACAUUCACAAAUUGCUUAUUCAGUCAAUUGCUGAUUGAUAUAGGUAGUCUCCUUCAAUCCAUGGUCGUAUACUCAUAGGUUCUAAUAGAAUUGCACAGAAGUACAUGAAAUAAAAAUCUAUAACAUUGAUUAAGCUGGCUUUUGUUGUUGGGAGAAUUGUAGAUUUUGUCUUGGGAUCAUCGUCGGGGUUGAGGUACCAACGAUAGGAUUUUGUUGCUGGAGAAAUGACAGAUUCUGUCCGGGCAUCAUCAUAGGGGUAGAAGUACCACUGGUAGGAGUCUGCUGUUGAAAGAAUGAUAGAUUCUGUCCGGGCAUCAUCAUAGGGGUAGAAGUACCACUGGUAGGAGUCUGCUGUUGAAAGAAUGAUAGAUUCUUUUCGGGCAUCAUCGUAGGGGUAGAAGUACCACUGGUAGGAGUCUGCUGUUGGAAGAAUGGUAGAUUCUGUCCUGCCAUUAUCAUAGGGGUAGAAGUACCACUGGUAGGAGUCUGUUGUUGGAAGAAUAAUAUAUUUUGUCCUGGCAUCAUUGUAGGGGUCGACAGACCAAUGGAUUGUUGCAGACUUGAGUUGUAAUGUGCUAAAUAGGGGUAAGCAUGACUUAGCGGAGCUCCCAGUUGAACCUAUGCAGAUAAAUAGCAAAGCUUAGGUCACAGGUGAUUG